CGCUUAUAGAGAAAGGCAGAGGGACUAGACCCGAUGAAGCCUUAGCAACCUGUCGCUGUACAAGGUGCUACAUUCUACUCCUUCGGGGGAAAGAUAAGCC
rnacentral:ncRNA from 2 species